rnacentral:rRNA from 1 species
UACGUAGGGUGCGAGCGUUAAUCGGAAUUACUGGGCGUAAAGCGUGCGCAGGCGGUUCGUUAUGUCCGUUGUGAAAGCCCCGGGCUCAACCUGGGAAUGGCAAUGGAAACUGGCGGGCUAGAGUGUGGCAGAGGGGGGUGGAAUUCCGCGUGUAGCAGUGAAAUGCGCAGAUAUUGGGAGGAACACCAGCGGCGAAGGCGGCACUCUGGGCUGGUACUGACGCUGAGGAGCGAAAGCGUGGGUAGCGAACAGG